rnacentral:rRNA from 1 species
GACGAACGCUGGCGGCGUGCUUAACACAUGCAAGUCGAACGAAGUGGCGAACGGGUGAGUAACGCGUAAUCAACCUGCCCUUCAGAGGGGGACAACAGUUGGAAACGACUGCUACUACCGCAUACUGAAGGAGGGGAUUGCGUCUGAUUAGCGAGUUGGAGGGGUAACGGACAACCAAGGCGAUGAGCAGUAGCCGGUCUGACAGUAUGAACGGCCACAUUGGGACUGAGACACGGCCCAGACUCCGACGGGAGGCAGCAGUGGGGAAUCUUACGCAAUGGACGAAAGUCUGACGGAGCAACGCCGCGUGAGUGAUGACGGCCUUCGGGUUGUAAAGCUCUGUUAAUCGGGACGCGGUACCGGAAUAGAAAGCCACGGCUAACUACGUGCCAGCAGCCGCGGUAAUAC